rnacentral:rRNA from 1 species
GACGAACGCUGGCGGCGUGCUUAACACAUGCAAGUCGAACGGAAAGGCCCUGCUUUUGUGGGGUGCUCGAGUGGCGAACGGGUGAGUAACACGUGAGUAACCUGCCCUUGACUUUGGGAUAACUUCAGGAAACUGGGGCUAAUACCGGAUAGGAGCUCCUGCUGCAUGGUGGGGGUUGGAAAGUUUCGGCGGUUGGGGAUGGACUCGCGGCUUAUCAGCUUGUUGGUGGGGUAGUGGCUUACCAAGGCUCUGACGGGUAGCCGGCCUGAGAGGGUGACCGGCCACAUUGGGACUGAGAUACGACCCAGACUCCUACGGGAGGCAGCAGUGGGGAAUAUUGCACAAUGGGCGGAAGCCUGAUGCAGCAACGCCGCGUGCGGGAUGACGGCCUUCGGGUUGUAAACCGCUUUCGCCUGUGACGAAGCGUGAGUGACGGUAAUGGGUAAAGAAGCACCGGCUAACUACGUG